rnacentral:rRNA from 1 species
AAGUAAAAGUCUUGGAACACGGUCAACGCACAGUUAAGUACGUGAGCACGAAUCCCAAGAAAAAGCCAAGGAUGUUUUCAUUGAUCAAGAACGAAAGUUAGGGGAUCGAAGACGAUCAGAUACCGUCCUAGUCUUAACCAUAAACUAUGCCAACUGGAAAUUGGAAUAUAUGGAGAGAAAAUAUAUUCAGUAUUGUGCCUGAAAAGAGUAAGUGUGUGGGCUCCGGGGGGAGUAUAGUUGCAAGACUGAAACUUAAAGGAAUUGACGGAAGGGCACCACCAGGAGUGGAGCCUGCGGCUUAAUUUGACUCAACACGGGAAAUCUCACCAAGUCCAGACAUACGCAGGAUUGACAGAUUAAUUGCUCUUUCUCGAUUGUAUGGGUGGUGGUGCAUGGCCGUUCUUAGUUGGUGGAGUGAUUUGUCUGGUUAAUUCCGUUAACGAACGAGACCUUAACCUGCUAAAUAGUUACACGUAA